ACACAAAAUGGCGACACGUGGUUAGCAUUCGUCGCCAACGAGAAAUUGGGGUCGGCCCGAAAGCUCUAGAAUGCACCCCUCUUCCUCCCCGGGGCCUUCCACCUCCGCGAGUUUUAUGACUUAAAAAAGCCCACAGGCUGGUCUGAAGAGGAAGACAAACAUAAAGAUGAAGUGCUUAAUUCAAGGUCACACAAUGUCGGGGAUGGACCUCCAGAUUUCCUUACUGACCUGCAUUAUCUUGUGGAUACCUGAGUGAAUUCCACACCACCCAUUUUAUAGAUGAAACCACUGAGACAUGGAGCAAUUGACUGAGUAGUCACUGCCCCACCCCUGCCUGGAGCCUCACACAUGACUCGCCUCCUCUCAGUGACCACAGGAAAACAAGCUCAGGGCUCCCACUGAUUGUACAUUAUGAGACGGAGUCUUGCUAUGUUGCCCAGGCUGGUCUUGAACUCCUCACCUCAAGCGAUCCUCCCGUCUUGGCCUCCCAAGUGUCAGGAUUACGGGCAUGUGCUAUCACACCCAACCUGAUACAUUGCCUUUAUAAAUUUUUUUUUCUUUAUUCUAAAAACCAGAAAAAACAAAACUGGAUACAUGUGCAGAACAUGCAGACCAAGUGUGUUGGGGACUUGAGAUGCGUACAUGAGUGUGAUGUUUCCUGCUGAAAGCACAGGUGAGACGUGGUCUUGUAACACAGUGGUUAAGAAUGUGACUUUGGAGCCAGCCUGCUAGGGGCUGAAUUCUGACUCAGCCAUUUACUAACUGUGUGACCUUAGUCUCACUGUUGCUCAGGCUGGAGUGCAAUGGCAUGAUCUCGGCUCAUCACAACCUCUGCUUCCUGGGUUCAAGCGAUUCUCCUGCCUCAGCCUCCCGAGUACCUGGGACUACAGGCACUCGCCACCAUGCCCGGCUGAUUUUUGUAUUUUUAAUAGAGAUGGUUUCACUAUGUUGGCCAGGCUGGUCUCGAACUCCUGACCUUGUGAUCUGCCCACCUCAGCCUCGAAAAGUGCUGGGAUUACAGGCGUGAGCCACUGCGCCCAGCCUUGUAUUUUUUUUCAGUUUGGGUAGCUGUCCCUAAUUCAUUUGUUAAAGGAGAAGCAAGAGCAAGAACCUUUAAUCUGUUCUCCUCUUCCCUAAUUUGAAAGUAGCUUGUUAUUUUGAAUAUCACUUUCUCUGAAAUAGCACAUCUCCAUCUCAGAGAAUGGAUUUAAUGUUUGGAUACAGCCAAAAGUCAUUUCAUUACCAAACCAUGGGGUGAAUAUACCAUGUAAAGCAGUUUGGGAUCAGAACUCACAGUCUGAAUUGUAAGUGAUGAGACUGCUGUCUCUCUGCUACAGCUUCUUGGCUGGCUCUGAAGGCUCUUUGAAGGCAGAUCCUAACAAGGGGACUGCUUUGAAGGGCCAUUGUUCAUUUGGAAUGAUAAAGUCUAUGUUGUUCAAAAAACAAAUGCUUGUAGCAGGUAUUUUUUCACUCCAGACUGAGAAUAUUGGUGGGAUAUUGAUAAGGGGUACUGAAUGGUAAUAAACAUGUGCUCUAGCUCUGUGCUAGUCAGCUUAUUUCAGAACUCUAGUUUGAUUCAGUUUCUUGCCUCUGACUCAAAAUGGAGGGAGAGUGAUUUUUACAUAAGAGAACACACCCACAUAUCCUUUUGGCAGCAGCUACCUGCCAGAGAUGUUGAAGAAGAGUAGCCAACCUUUACACAGCAGAUAUUGUGUGCCAGUCAUAGUCCUAAGUAUAAUACCUUACAUGUAUAAACUUCUUAUAAGGUUGGUGCUCUGUACCGAAUUGAAUAGUAUCCCCCAAAAUUCAUGUUGUCCCAGAACCUAUGAAAGUGAUCUUACUUGAGGGAGGGGGGAGGGGGGAGGGAUAGCAUUAGGAGAUAUACCUAAUGCUAAAUGACGAGUUAAUGGGUGUAGCACACCAGCAUGGCACAUGUAUACAUAUGUAACUAACCUGCACAUUGUGCACAUGUACCCUAAAACUUAAAGUAUAAUAAUAAUAAAAUAAAAAAAAAAAAGAAAGUGAUCUUACUUGGAAAUAAGGUCUUUGCACAUAUGAUCAAGUUGAGAUGAAGUUGUACUGGAAAGUCUGUCUAGUGACUGGUGUUGUCAUAAGAAGAGAGGGACACAGAGGGAAGAUGGCCACAUGAAGAUGGAGGCAGAGAUUGCAGUUAUGCUGCUGCAAACUAAGGAAUGGCUCUGGCCCUCCAAGGAUUGCUGAUAACCACCAGAAACUAGAAGAGACAAGGAAGGAUUCUUCCCUAGAGCCUUCAGAGGGAGCAUGGCCCUACUGACACCUGGAUUUCAAACUUGUAGCUUCCUAAACUGCAAG
rnacentral:lncRNA from 1 species